UACGUAGGGUGCAAGCGUUGUCCGGAAUUAUUGGGCGUAAAGAGCUCGUAGGCGGUCUGUCGCGUCGGCUGUGAAAACCCGGGGCUCAACUCCGGGCCUGCAGUCGAUACGGGCAGACUAGAGUUCGGUAGGGGAGACUGGAAUUCCUGGUGUAGCGGUGAAAUGCGCAGAUAUCAGGAGGAACACCGGUGGCGAAGGCGGGUCUCUGGGCCGAAACUGACGCUGAGGAGCGAAAGCGUGGGGAGCAAACAGG
rnacentral:rRNA from 1 species